rnacentral:rRNA from 1 species
GACGAACGCUGGCGGCGUGCCUAAUACAUGCAAGUCGAACGCAGUGGGGACGGGUGAGUAACACGUGGGUAACCUCCCAUCAGAGGGGAUAACACUUGGAAACAGGUGCUAAACCGAUACUGAUGGAUGGACCCGCGGUGCAUUAGCUAGUUGGUGAGGUAACGGCUCACCAGGGCCACGAUGCAUAGACGACCGUAGAGCGUGAUGGGACAGACUGGGACGGAGACAAGGCCCAGACUCCGACGGUAGGCAGCAGUAGGGAAGCUGCGGCAAUGGACGAAAGUCUGACCGAGCAACGCAGCGUGAGUGAAGAAGGUUUUCGGAUCGUAAAACUCUGUGGUUAGAGAAGCGGUAUCUAACCAGAAAGCCACGGCUAACUACGUGCCAGCAGCCGCGGUAAUUC